CCUACGGGCGGCUGCAGUGGGGAAUAUUGGACAAUGGGGGGAACCCUGAUCCAGCCAUGCCGCGUGUGUGAAGGAGGCCCUCGGGUUGUAAAGCACUUUCAGUGAGGAAGAACGCCUGGUGGUUAAUACCCAUCAGGAAAGACAUCACUCACAGAAGAAGCACCGGCUAACUCCGUGCCAGCAGCCGCGGUAAUACGGAGGGUGCGAGCGUUAAUCGGAAUUACUGGGCGUAAAGCGCGCGUAGGUGGCUUGAUAAGCCGGUUGUGAAAGCCCCGGGCUCAACCUGGGAACGGCAUCCGGAACUGUCAAGCUAGAGUGCAGGAGAGGAAGGUAGAAUUCCCGGUGUAGCGGUGAAAUGCGUAGAGAUCGGGAGGAAUACCAGUGGCGAAGGCGGCCUUCUGGACUGACACUGACACUGAGGUGCGAAAGCGUGGGUAGCAAACAGGAUUAGAUACCCUGGUAGUC
rnacentral:rRNA from 1 species